UACGUAGGGUCCGAGCGUUGUCCGGAAUUACUGGGCGUAAAGCGCGCGUAGGCGGCUAUUCAAGUCAGGGGUGAAAUCCUUGGGCUCAACCCAAGAAUUGCCUUUGAAACUGUGUAGCUAGAGUGUCGGAGGGGAUAGCGGAAUUCCUAAUGUAGAGGUGAAAUUCGUAGAUAUUAGGAGGAACACCGGUGGCGAAGGCGGCUAUCUGGACGACAACUGACGCUGAGGCGCGAAAGCACGGGGAUCAAACAGG
rnacentral:rRNA from 1 species